rnacentral:rRNA from 1 species
AACGAACGCUGACGGCGUGCCUAACACAUGCAAGUCGAACGAGAAAUCCCGGCUUGCCGGGGUGAGUAAAGUGGCGCACGGGUGAGUAACGCGUGGGUUAUCUGCCUUUAAGCUAGGGAUAACACUGCGAAAGCGGUGCUAAUACCUAAUAAGCUCACAGUUUUUAGAAGCAGUGAGAAAAGGUGGCCUCUGACAUAAGCUAUCGCUUAAAGAUGAGCCCGCGUACCAUUAGCUAGUUGGUAGGGUAAUGGCCUACCAAGGCAACGAUGGUUAGCUGGCCUGAGAGGGCGGCCAGCCACACUGGAACUGAGAUACGGUCCAGACUCCUACGGGAGGCUG